AUACUUACCUGGCAGAGGAGACACCAUGAUCACAAAGUGGUUUUCCCAGGGCAAGACUGAUCCAUUGCACUCUGGAUGUGCUGACCCCUGCGAUUUCCCCAGAUGCAGGAAACUCGACUGCAUAAUUUGUGGUAAUGGUGUUCUGCAUUCACACUGCACUCUCCCC